CUACGGGAGGCUGCAGGCGAGAAAACUUUGCAAUGUGCGAAAGCACGACAAGGUUAAUCCGAGUGGUUUCUGCUAAAGGAACCUUUUGACAGUCCUAGAAACACUGUUGAAUAAGGGGUGGGCAAGUUCUGGUGUCAGCCGCCGCGGUAAAACCAGCACCUCAAGUGGUCAGGAUGAUUAUUGGGCCUAAAGCAUCCGUAGCCGGCUCUGUAAGUUUUCGGUUAAAUCUGUACGCUCAACGUACAGGCUGCCGGGAAUACUGCAGAGCUAGGGAGUGGGAGAGGUAGACGGUACUCGGUAGGAGGGGGUAAAAUCCUUUGAUCUAUUGAUGACCACCUGUGGCGAAGGCGGUCUACCAGAACACGUCCGACGGUGAGGGAUGAAAGCUGGGGGAGCAAACCGGAUUAGAUACCCUUGUAGUC
rnacentral:rRNA from 1 species